rnacentral:rRNA from 1 species
UGGGGAAUAUUGCACAAUGGGCGGAAGCCUGAUGCAGCAACGCCGCGUGCGGGAUGACGGCCUUCGGGUUGUAAACCGCUUUCGCCUGUGACGAAGCGUGAGUGACGGUAAUGGGUAAAGAAGCACCGGCUAACUACGUGCCAGCAGCCGCGGUGAUACGUAGGGUGCGAGCGUUGUCCGGAUUUAUUGGGCGUAAAGGGCUCGUAGGUGGUUGAUCGCGUCGGAAGUGUAAUCUUGGGGCUUAACCCUGAGCGUGCUUUCGAUACGGGUUGACUUGAGGAAGGUAGGGGAGAAUGGAAUUCCUGGUGGAGCGGUGGAAUGCGCAGAUAUCAGGAGGAACACCAGUGGCGAAGGCGGUUCUCUGGGCCUUUCCUGACGCUGAGGAGCGAAAGCGUGGGGA